ACAAAUGGUAAUAUCUGCAACCGCCCAUGGAUAUUUGAAGAACUUCCCUACGAGAAAGGGUAAACCAGCGCCCAGCUGAACUUGAUCGAAACUUGUGAAACUUCUCCGAAAAAUCCUGUCGCAUGCCUGAAAUGCCUGCUGUAAUUUAACCCAGCGUUCUCAAGGUACGUACGAUGCAGAAAUGCAAAGCAGGGCCAAACAUGCUGCAUUCAAUGGGUACGAAGACGGUGUGAGGAACAACAUAACAGCUCUCUUCCUGGUGGCAGCCAUGGAGCACCUAGGGGCUUCAUUAAGUGUCAGAUAUCCCUGACGGCUUCAUACCUGACCACAUAACCAUGGGCUCUGAAGAGGGGAAAAAAGGAACAGGCUACAUCCGGUAGUGGCCCGGGUGGUCAACAAAUGCCAUUUUCCACAUGCAGUCCAGGAGGGAGACGUAUAACUAUACUGUAGAUUUGAUAUUUUUACAAGGCCUUUAGCCACAGUGUGCCCACAGCGCACUGCUCGUAAUUCUGCAGGUAAAUUUCACUCUUUCGCAUCGCUUAGCCCACAGCACCUUAACAACUUGAAGUCAUUUUUAGAACAUAGUUGUCCCGGUCUCACUGAAACAAACAGCAGAUUGGACCAGCAUGUCUAUUGGACUGCAGAAAAUCAUGGUGAACAGACAGACAAAUGCACACUGGAGCACAUUAUGUUGCUAGUCACACAGAGGAUAUUUUCAGAGAGGCUGAGUUGUUUUCACCCCCCCCAUCUAGUCAUGACAUUCUGAUAAAUCGCAAAAGCAGUAACCUGUGGCGCAGGAUCAAAGCUAAAUUGAAAGAGCGCCAAGACUAAUAUAAAAUUGGUGGAGUAAAUGCAUGUACUGUAAUAAUGUAUGUAAAUAAUUUGUGUAUGUAAGUAGUGUAUAUAAAAUAACCCAGUGCAACUUUUUUUCCCAUAAGAUUCUGUUGCCUUUCUGUGAAUGCAUAUAAAAAAGGUU